rnacentral:rRNA from 1 species
AGCCUGAACGCUGGCGGCGUGGCUAAGACAUGCAAGUCGAACGGGCAUAGCAAUAUGUCAGUGGCGAACGGGUGAGUAAUGUAUCGCUAACGUACCCUUGUGUUGGGGAUAGCCGGGGGAAACUCCGGGUAAUACCCAAUGACAUCCUCUUGAGGCAUCUCGAGGGGCUCAAAGGAGCAAUCCGCAAAAAGGGAGCGGGGCGAGUAUCGGUAUCCAGCUAGUUGGUGAGGUAACGGCUCACCAAGGCGACGACGCGUAGCCGGGCUGAGAGGUUGGCCGGCCACAUUGGGACUGAGACACUGCCCAGACUCCUACGGGGGGCUGGCAGUAACGAAUCUUCCGCAAUGCACGAAAGUGUGACGGAGCGACGCCGCGUGUGGGACGAAGUCCUUCGGGAUGUAAACCGACUGUCAGGGGUAAGAAAGUUCUGAUCUACCCCAGAGGAAGGCACGGCUAACUCUGUGCCAGCAGCCGC